rnacentral:rRNA from 1 species
AACGGCCGUACCGUGCUGAAUAUACCGGUUCUCGUUAGAUCACUUAAGUCAAGCAUCAUUGGGCGCGGUCAGUACUUGGGUGGGUGACCGCCUGGGAACACCGCGUGCCGUU